CGGGGCGUGGCGCAGUCCGGUAGCGCGCUACAAUGGGGUUGUAGAGGUCCCCGGUUCGAAUCCGGGCGCCCCGA
rnacentral:tRNA from 1 species